CCUGGAGGUUUUUUUCUCAUCCAAUCAAGACAUGCAGUCCAGGAACCUCCGUGGGCAUUACCGCAGUAUAUAAAUGAUGCUGAAGCGGAAACACGUUUUUUCAAGUUCCUGUAUUUUUAUGUGGAGUUGCUCACUGCCCAACGUAGAGGACUAGGAAUCAGGAGUCGGUGGCCGUAUGCUGGAGGCUGGAGCCGCGGGAGCGCGGCUCGCCUCGCUGCGGUUGUUGGCAGUGACGGAGAGAGAGCAGCGCGGCUGGAGCAGUGACACAAAUCACUAUGUAAUAUAGUUAGCCUUUGAACAACACGGAUUUGAACUGCAGGGGUCUACUUAUGAGCAGAUUUUCUCCCACCUCUACCACCUGAGACAGCGAAGACCAAUCUUCCUCUUCCUCCUUCUCCUUAGCCUGCUCAACUUGAAGACUAUGAUGAAGAGUUAUAUAAUGAUCUACUUGCAUUUAAUGAACAAUAGUUUCCCUUGCAAAGUUAUCAAAGUGCUCCCCAGAAGACAUUAGGUAUUUGCUUUCUAGUCUACAUACAAUGAAAAGGAAAAAACGUCAGUUCCUGAAGCUCUCUCAAAACAUCAACAGAUGGAAAGACGUGCCCAUGUCCUCCCCUCCCUCCACUCUGGGGGCUUGGAAAUGCUGCAGCAGGGAGCAGGCCCCAGGCUGGACCUGCCCUGUCCUCACGACGAGUGUGUGCAAAAGUGAACAAUAAAUCAUUUCAAAGAUGCAAGGAAGAAAAACCAAAACAUCAACAGAAUCUUCUUUCCCAUAAUCUUCAUGCACCUCCUGGUCCGGAUGAGUUUAUGUUCCCAUCUCCGAGCACAGGGAUUGAUUGUGAUGGCAUUUAUAGGACUGAGUGCCCCACACUCUGUGAUCCAGCAUGGAGUUAUGAUUUACAUCACCACAGGAAGAGUACAGAGGCUUCAACAGAAAAAAAGCAAAAACAACAGACCUUCAUUCAGCUUAGGAACAUAAUAAAUAGGACGAAGUUGAAUAAACGAAAUGGAGGGGAGUGAAGUAUUCCAGAUGGAAGAGGCAGUACGUGGCCAAGAGGAAACAGACCAUGUGCGCUGGAGAAAAAGGAUGGCCAGACUUGCAGAAACCUGGAAUUGGUGAUUGGCUUUAGAAGUGGAGAGACAAAAAAGGAGGCAUAGAAAGUGCCAACAUUUGGCUACACAGGGAAGAAAGACGUAAAAUAAUAAAAACAUUGGCAUCACCUGUAGACUCAAAUCCUGUGAGUGAAGGACCUGAGCAAUGAAGGAUGGAUUGAACUCGUGAUUAGCCUUCUUCAGCAUAUGUAAAAUGAUGUCUGCUUUUCUUCUCUAUUUGUCAUUUUACCGACUUUUUAUAUAUAGUAGUUUCCCCAUAUCCAUGGAGGAUGUAUCCCAAGACCCCCAGAGGAUGCUUGAAACCACAGAUAAUAACAAACUCUAUGUAUCCUAUGAUUUUUCCUGUACAUCCUUACCUAUCAUAAAGUGAGUGUAUAAACUAGGCACAGGAGAUUAAAAACAAUAACUCAUAAUAAAAUAGAACAAUUAGUACAACCUAAUGAAAGUUAUCUGAAUGUGAUCUCUCUCAAAAUAUCUUAUUGUAGUGUACCAUGGGUAACUGAAAUGAUAGAAAACAAAAUUGCUGAUAAAGGGGGAUAUUGUAGUAAAAUAAAGGGGGAUGGGUAGAGCGUAGGAAGCAUUCACAAUUAGAACAGUUGGCAGUAGGGAAAGAAACAUACUUUAAAUUGGAAUGUGGAUCACAUGGCUGCCUCCUGCCAGUCAUGAUCGCAGGGUACAGAGGCCUCUGGUAUGUCAGGUCUUCUCUCCCACCACUAAUACUGCCCAAAAGACUCCAUCAGCAACCAGAGCUGAAUCACACACAACCCAGAUUGUCAUUUCUGAUGACUUUGACUUAAACAAACAGACAUAUUUUUAAUCUUUUUAGUGUGUGUGAAACUAGCAAGGCCUAAUGAAUUGAGUAUAUGGAUGAGGUUUGUGGCCUCUGUAACGUUUUCUCCAACCAGAACCUACUGAAAUAGCACAGAUGGUGAUGAGUAUGGUUCAAACACAAGAAUUCUUGGAAAUUGAAGUUGAAGUAUAAGGAGAAUUUUUACAUCACCCAGGUUCUAAUUUGGAAGGUUUCUAACAGCCCUCUGUCCUCUUCUGGUGCUCACUGUGAAAGAAUUUGCACCCUGCAACACUAAGUGUUUGUGCUAGAAUCCACUUCUGAUGUUGGCUGCUCUGACACAGCUUCCAUUCGGCAGGGUCUCACUCUUGUCGCCCAGACUGCAUUGCAGUGGGGUGAUCUCGGCUCAUUGCAACCUCUGUCUCCCGGAUUCAAGCAAUUCUCCUGCCUCAGCCCCCCAAGUAGCUGGGUUUACAGGUAUGUGCAACCAUGCCCAGCUAAUUUUUUUUUGUAUUUUUUUCAGUAGACAUGGUUUUUUUUUUUAAAUUUUAUUAUUAUUAUACUUUAAGUUUUAGGGUACAUGUGCGCAACGUGCAGAUUUGUUACAUAUGUAUAUAUGUGCCAUGUUGGUGUGCUGCACCCAUUAACUCGUCAUUUAGCAUUAGGUAUAUCUCCUAAUGCUAUCCCUCCCCACUCCCACCACCCCACAACAGUCC
rnacentral:lncRNA from 10 species